rnacentral:rRNA from 1 species
UAGGGAAUCUUCGGCAAUGGACGAAAGUCUGACCGAGCAACGCCGCGUGAGUGAAGAAGGUUUUCGGAUCGUAAAACUCUGUUGUUAGAGAAGAACAAGGACGUUAGUAACUGAACGUCCCCUGACGGUAUCUAACCAGAAAGCCACGGCUAACUACGUGCCAGCAGCCGCGGUAAUACGUAGGUGGCAAGCGUUGUCCGGAUUUAUUGGGCGUAAAGCGAGCGCAGGCGGUUUCUUAAGUCUGAUGUGAAAGCCCCCGGCUCAACCGGGGAGGGUCAUUGGAAACUGGGGGACUUGAGUGCAGAAGAGGAGGGUGGAAUUCCAUGUGUAGCGAUGAAAUGCGUAGAUAUAUGGAGGAACACCAGUGGCGAAGGCGGCUCUCUGGUCUGUAACUGACGCUGAGGCUCGAAAGCGUGGGGAGCAAACAGG